rnacentral:rRNA from 1 species
UACGGGGGGGGCAAGCGUUGUUCGGAAUUACUGGGCGUAAAGGGCUCGUAGGUGGCCAACUAAGUCAGACGUGAAAUCCCUCGGCUUAACCGGGGAACUGCGUCUGAUACUGGAUGGCUUGAGAUUGGGAGAGGGAUGCGGAAUUCCAGGUGUAGCGGUGAAAUGCGUAGAUAUCUGGAGGAACACCGGUGGCGAGGGCGGCAUCCUGGACCAACACUGACGCUGAGGAGCGAAAGCCAGGGGAGCAAACGGG